AUAAUAGCUAUAUCUUUAAACUUAAAGAAUUUGGCGGUAUAAUAGUCUAUUUAGAGGAAUCUGUAAUAUUAUCGAUAAUUCACGUUGAAUCUUACUUAUAUAAUUUCUUGUAUAUCGCUGUUAUAAGAGAAUAUUUUUAGGUUAAUUUUCUUGAAUAUUUAUUAAUAAUUAUUUCAAGUCAAGGUGCAGUUAAUGUAUAAGUUGAUUAAUGGAUUACAAUAAUUUUUAUUUACAUGGAUAAAUAUUGGAAUAAUAGAUUGAAGGUGGAUUUAAUAGUAAUUUUAUGAAGAUUAGUAUGAUGAUUAAGGCUCUAUAAUAUGUACACAUCGCCCG
rnacentral:rRNA from 1 species